CCUACGGGUGGCAGCAGUGGGGAAUAUUGCACAAUGGGGGAAACCCUGAUGCAGCGACGCCGCGUGAGCGAUGAAGUAUUUCGGUAUGUAAAGCUCUAUCAGCAGGGAAGAAAAUGACGGUACCUGACUAAGAAGCCCCGGCGAACUACGUGCCAGCAGCCGCGGUAAUACGUAGGGGGCAAGCGUUAUCCGGAUUUACUGGGUGUUAAGGGAGCGUAGGCGGUUCUGCAAGCCAGAUGGGAAAGCGUGGGGCUCAACCCCGGGACUGCAUUUGGAACUGGAAGGCUAGAGUGUCGGAGAGGCAGGCGGAAUGCCUGGUGUAGCGGUGAAAUGCGUAGAUAUUAGGAGGAACACCGGUGGCGAAGGCAGCCUGCUGGACGAUGACUGACGUUGAGGCUCGAAAGCGUGGGGAGCAAACAGGAUUAGAUACCCCUGUAGUC
rnacentral:rRNA from 1 species